AACGAACGCUGGCGGCAGGCCUAACACAUGCAAGUCGAGCGAGACCUUCGGGUCUAGCGGCGGACGGGUGAGUAACGCGUGGGAAUGUGCCCUUCUCUACGGAAUAGUCCCGGGAAACUGGGUUUAAUACCGUAUACGCCCUUCGGGGGAAAGAUUUAUCGGAGAAGGAUCAGCCCGCGUCUGAUUAGGUAGUUGGUGGGGUAAUGGCCUACCAAGCCUACGAUCAGUAGCUGGUUUUAGAGGAUGAUCAGCCACACUGGGACUGAGACACGGCCCAGACUCCUACGGGAGGCAGCAGUGGGGAAUCUUAGACAAUGGGCGCAAGCCUGAUCUAGCCAUGCCGCGUGAGUGAUGAAGGCCUUAGGGUCGUAAAACUCUUUCGCCAGGGAUGAUAAUGACAGUACCUGGUAAAGAAGCCCCGGCUAACUCCGUGCCAGCAGCCGCGGUAAUACGGAGGGGGCUAGCGUUGUUCGGAAUUACUGGGCGUAAAGCGCGCGUAGGCGGACUAUUAAGUCAGGGGUGAAAUCCCGGGGCUCAACCCCGGAACUGCCCUUGAUACUGGUAGUCUUGAGUUCGAGAGAGGUGAGUGGAAUUCCGAGUGUAGAGGUGAAAUUCGUAGAUAUUUCGGAGGAACACCAAUGGCGAAGGCGGCUCACUGGCUCGAUACUGACGCUGAGGUGCGAAAGUGUGGGGAGCAAAACAGGAUUAGAUACCCUGG
rnacentral:rRNA from 1 species